AGAAGCUUAGGUUCACCCAAACCGGAAGCCUUCAAAGCCUCAAACAAGAGUUAGACCCUCUUAGCUUCUG
rnacentral:tRNA from 2 species